GACGUAGGGGGCCAGCGUUGUUCGGAAUUACUGGGUGUAAAGGGUUCGUAGGCGGUGUGGCAAGUCGGGAGUGAAAUUUCUGGGCUCAACUCAGAGACUGCUUCCGAAACUGCUGUGCUGGAGUGUGGGAGAGGCGCGUGGAAUUGCAGGUGUAGCGGUGAAAUGCGUAGAUAUCUGGAGGAACACCGGUGGCGAAGGCGGCAUCCUGGACCAAUACUGACGCUGAGGAGCGAAAGCCAGGGGAGCAAACGGG
rnacentral:rRNA from 1 species